GGCGCUGUGGCUUAGUUGGUUAAAGCGCCUGUCUAGUAAACAGGAGAUCCUGGGUCCAAAUCCCAGCAGUGCUU
rnacentral:tRNA from 2 species